UACGUAGGGGGCGAGCGUUGUCCGGAAUCAUUGGGCGUAAAGCGCGUGUAGGCGGCUUGCCAAGUCCGGUGUGAAAUCUCGGGGCGCAACCCCGAAACUGCAUUGGAAACUGGCUUGCUAGAGUCCGGAAGAGGAGAAUGGAAUUCCUGGUGUAGCGGUGAAAUGCGCAGAUAUCAGGAAGAACACCGGUGGCGAAGGCGGUUCUCUGGGACGGUACUGACGCUGAGACGCGAAAGCGUGGGGAGCGAACAGG
rnacentral:rRNA from 1 species